rnacentral:rRNA from 1 species
UACGUAGGGGGCAAGCGUUGUCCGGAUUUAUUGGGCGUAAAGAGCGUGUAGGCGGCCAGAUAGGUCUGUUGUGAAAACUCGAGGCUCAACCUCGAGACGCCGAUGGAAACCAUUUGGCUAGAGUCCGGAAGAGGAGAGUGGAAUUCCUGGUGUAGCGGUGAAAUGCGCAGAUAUCAGAAAGAACACCCGUGGCUAAGGCGGCUCUCUAGUACGGUACUGACGCUGAGACGCGAAAGCGUGGGGAGCAAACAGG